UACGUAGGGUGCGAGCGUUGCCCGGAAUUAUUGGGCGUAAAGAGCUUGUAGGCGGUCUGUCGCGUCUGCUGUGAAAAUCCGGGGCUCAACCCCGGACUUGCAGUGGGUACGGGCAGACUAGAGUGUGGUAGGGGAGACUGGAAUUCCUGGUGUAGCGGUGAAAUGCGCAGAUAUCAGGAGGAACACCGAUGGCGAAGGCAGGUCUCUGGGCCACUACUGACGCUGAGAAGCGAAAGCAUGGGGAGCGAACAGG
rnacentral:rRNA from 1 species